rnacentral:tRNA from 1 species
GGGCUGGGGCUCAGAGGCAGAACACUCCCCUAACACGGAAGAGGCACUGGGUUCGAUCCUCAGCACCACA